GAGAGAUGGCUGAGUGGUCGAAAGCAACGGUUUGCUAAAUCGUCGUACGUGUCACAGCGUACCGCGGGUUCGAAUCCCGCUCUCUCC
rnacentral:tRNA from 1 species